UACGAAGGGGGGCUAGCGUUGCUCGGAAUUACUGGGCGUAAAGGGCGCGUAGGCGGAUAGUUUAGUCAGAGGUGAAAGCCCAGGGCUCAACCUUGGAACUGCCUUUGAUACUGGCUAUCUUGAGUUCGGGAGAGGUGAGUGGAAUGCCGAGUGUAGAGGUGAAAUUCGUAGAUAUUCGGCGGAACACCAGUGGCGAAGGCGACUCACUGGCCCGAUACUGACGCUGAGGCGCGAAAGCGUGGGGAUCAAACAGG
rnacentral:rRNA from 1 species